UGGGGAAUAUUGGACAAUGGGGGAAACCCUGAUCCAGCGACGCCGCGUGUGUGAAGAAGGCCUGCGGGUUGUAAAGCACUUUUAGUGGGGAUGAAAAGCCGAAGGCUAAUACCUUUCGGUCUUGACCUAACCUACAGAAUAAGCACCGGCUAACUUCGUGCCAGCAGCCGCGGUAAUACGAAGGGUGCAAGUGUUACUCGGAAUUACUGGGCGUAAAGCGUGCGUAGGUGGUUUGUUAAGUCUGAUGUGAAAGCCCUGGGCUCAACCUGGGAAUUGCAUUGGAUACUGGCAGGCUAGAGUGCGGUAGAGGGUAGUGGAAUUCCCGGUGUAGCAGUGAAAUGCGUAGAGAUCGGGAGGAACACCAGUGGCGAAGGCGACUACCUGGACCAGCACUGACACUGAGGCACGAAAGCGUGGGGAGCAAAC
rnacentral:rRNA from 1 species